rnacentral:tRNA from 1 species
CGCGACGAAGUGCCAAUAGAGCGCAUCUGGUUUGGGACCAGAGGGUCGGAGGUUCGAAUCCUCUCGCCCCGACCA